rnacentral:misc_RNA from 1 species
GAAUACAGCGCCGAUGCGCUUUGCGCAGCGGUCGCACUCGACUGCUGUUGACGGGUACGCCACAUGUCCAGCGCACACCCGUCACCGAGUGCAGCGCUGUGCGGCGUGAAGGACUCCUCCAGUGCUCGGUGCACGCCCCUGACGAGUACAGAAGGCGUCGCUCGAUGCCGUGCUCCGUUGCCGCGCCCGGUACCGUACACUGUCGUCACGAACUUGUUCAGGGCGAUCCCCUCGGCGAGUACGCUGUCCGCGGCAGACGCAAGCGAAGGCUUCUGCAUUACGCAGAGGAUCUGUGAAACGCGGUGCUGUCCGUGAUAGAGCACGGAGCAGACGGAAGCUUCACACUCGAGAAGUCGUCGACAUACUCCGAGCCGUUUCCGAUCCCUGGUUGCAAAGCGGUGACACAGGCUCCGCUGGAAGCGAGUGCCGGGAGAGCUGGUAUCCGAGUCCGAGACCGAGCACCCAUGGACGGGCAGGAGCCGAGCACCCGUGGACGGGCAGGAGCCGAGCACCCGUGGACGGGCAGGAGCCGAGCACCCGUGGACGGGCAGGAGCCGAGCACCCGUGGACGGGCAGGAGCCGAGCACCCGUGGACGGGCAGGAGCCGAGCACCCAUGGACGGGCAGGAGCCGAGCACCCAUGGACGGGCAGGAGCCGAGCACCCCUGGACGUCCGUGCCCUGUGGGGUACCGUGCUUGCGUCGAACGCCGUCUCAGCGGUGUUAGCAAGGAGCCGGGCGAUAUGUCUCCUCGGCCGAGUUCGACGCUCUGACUUGCGAAGUACGGUGAGCGAUCGGCUCGAGCUUGUGAGCAAGUCGUUAACGGACGGCGUCGACGAACGUUCCGAAAGCGUCCAGGUGCUUGAGGUGGCGCGCCCACUGGGUUGCCUCGGAAUAGCAAGGUCGAAAACCUGAAGAUUGGAUACUCGGAGCGGGCUGCAAGUGAAGAUAGAAGAAGAGAGGCGUCUAGCGCGUAUGCAUACAACGGUAGUAUCGAUUCGUUUACGAUGCCUUGUUCGCGGGUGUCCCGAAUCGUCUCGAUUCUGGUGACGUAACGAGUUGCAGCGGCACAUCGUUGAACGUGUCGCUCCGCGAGAAAGAAGAACCACCGACCUAGAAUCCUGAGAGUGUAUACGAAUCCGUAAGCAUUUUAUUGGUGCUCCAUGAAAGUCAGCGCUUUGCAUCUGAACAAGUUCAGAGGGAAAUCUAAAUGCAGGAACAGGGUGUGCAGUUCUUUUGUAGACUUAUAUCUGACGCGGAUGCAGGACUGUGUGAACACUGAGCAAUACAAAAAAACGUUCAACGGCCAUGGAGGGUAUACAGACAUCCUCCCUCGCAGACGCCGCCCAGCCUUCUUCGACUGGCUCCCCUGCUAUCGGCUUCAGUUUCUCCUUGUACAUUUCGUGUUGGAAAAGUUGCCCCACGAAGUUCGCACGUGUCAGCUUCCCCGGUCUCGUCUUCAGCACCACUCAACACCUGAUAUCCUUGACGGCGUUGAAGUCUCGGUUCACGAACUCCACGCGUUUUAGUCUCUCGUGGAGCUCAUUCAGGCGAGGCUUCUUCGAACUCGCGCCCCCUGCGGCAUGUGCUGCUCUAUCAGCUGUCCGAGGUUUUCCAACGCCGAACCGCUCCGUUGCCUUCUCUCAACAUCAGC